rnacentral:lncRNA from 1 species
GGGCAGCAACCCAACAACGGGUUGUUCGAUUCAUCUGAAAAUUUCAGGGCAGAUAGAUCUUGACCUGAUGAACAAUAUUACCCCUGACAGAUUUGCUCUAAAUGCUUUGGUUUUUGAGUUAUAAGCCAAAACUGCAUUUUACCCCUAUGUUCUAUUUUUAGCCAUGGCGGCCAUCUUGGUUGGUUGGCCGGGUCACGCCACACAUUUUUUAAACUAAAUACUCCAAUGAUGAUUGUGGCCAAGUUUGGAUUAAUUUGUCCCAGUAGUUUCAGAGGAGAAGAUUUUUGUAAAAGAUAAC